GACGAACGCUGGCGGCGCGCUUUAUACAUGCAAGUCGAACGUGAAGCUCGGAGCUUGCUCCGGGUGGAAAGUGGCGAACGGGUGAGUAUCACGUGAGAAACCUGCCCCGAAGACCGGGAUAACACCGGGAAACCGGUGCUAAUACCGGAUGCCCUCACCGGAUCGCAUGGUCUGGUGAGGAAAUGGAUUCCGCUUCAGGAUGGUCUCGCGGCCUAUCAGCUUGUUGGUGGGGUAANGGCCCACCAAGGCUUCGACGGGUAGCUGGUCUGAGAGGAUGUCCAGCCACACUGGGACUGAGACACGGCCCAGACUCCUACGGGAGGCAGCAGUAGGGAAUCUUGCACAAUGGACGAAAGUCUGAUGCAGCGACGCCGCGUGUGGGAUGACUGCCCUCGGGUUGUAAA
rnacentral:rRNA from 1 species